AGACUCGUGGCAGAUAGCUCAGUAACACGUGGCCAAGCUACCCUUCAGACCAGAAUAACCUCGGGAAACUGAGGCUAAGACUGGAUACGGUAUGCACGCUGGAAUGCAGCAUACUCCAAACGUUCCGACGCUGAAGGAUGCGGCUGCGGCCGAUUAGGUAGACGGUGGGGUAACGGCCCACCGUGCCAAUAAUUGGUACGGGUGAUGAGAGUCAGAGCCCGGAGACGGAAUCUGAGACAAGAUUCCGGGCCCUACGGGGCGCAGCAGGCGCGAAACCUUUACACUGCACGCAAGUGCGAUAGGGGAAUCCCAAGUGCGAGAGCAUACUAGCUCUCGCUUUUGUUGACUGUAAGGAGGUCAACGAAUAAGAGCUGGGCAAGACCGGUGCCAGCCGCCGCGGUAAUACCGGCAGCUCGAGUGAUGUCCAAUUUUAUUGGGCCUAAAGCGUCCGUAGCUG
rnacentral:rRNA from 1 species